UCCCCUCCUUCCUCUCUGGUUCUCCCACGGGCUCUCGGCUCUCCCCACACCCCGCACUGUACCGUACCGUCCUCCACCACCAACGGGCUCUACGCCGUUGCGGCCGAGAAGAGGAGCGCGCUGCCGUGGAUGUGGUGUGAGGCGGUGAGGCGGAGGGAACGCGGGGAGCUCCGCGCACGGCGCUUCGAGACCGCCGCUCGGGUACGCCGCACCGCCUCGCUCUCGCUCUCCAACCGCAAGGAGUUCGCCACCCCGCACAACGGCGCCGUCAACUCCCUCCAGGUUGAUUUGACAGAGAGCCGGUACCUGCUCUCAGGGGCAUCAGAUGGGUCAAUCGCUAUAUUCGACGUGCAGAAUGCAACUGAAUACGAAGCUGGGCUCAUUGCCAAGCACAGGAGCAUUCUUCUUGUGGACAAGCAACAUGAAAAUGGCCACAAAUUUGCUGUAUCAAUGGCUAUAUGGUAUCCUGUGGACACUGGGCUGUUCAUGACAGCUUCUUUUGAUCAGUAUGUCAAAGUUUGGGAUACGAAUUCGGCUCAAGUUGUCAUGGAUUUUAAGAUGCCAGGAAAAGUGUACAGCGUAGCAAUGUCCCCAAUUGCAACAACACAUAUGCUUAUCGCUACUGGAAGUGCAGAUGUUCAGGUCCGCUUAUGUGACAUUGCUUCUGGAGCCUUUACCCACACGCUAUCCGGUCAUCGUGAUGGUAUCAUGUCUUUGGAGUGGUCUGCUUCAAGUGAAUGGAUUUUAAUGAGUGGUGGUUGUGAUGGGGCAAUACGAUUUUGGGACAUAAGACGAGCUGGAUGCUUUCGUGUUCUUGAUCAGUCACGGUCUCAACUAGGAAGACGGCCUCCUUUUCUCGAGGGCACCUCGGAAAAGGAUCCUAUGAACUCUUUACAACCUUCACCUUCUUCAAAGAUCUACUCAGCACAGCAGAGCACAGGCAAGAGUAAGCAGUUACAUUCUUCGCACAAAAGUAAAAUCCCUAGACAUGGACAUGUCCAACAGAGAUUGCACCCUGGUUUGUCUUCCAGUCAAAAUCGUGCAACAGCUCAUUAUGGUGCUGUUACAGGAUUAAGAACAACUACUGAUGGGAUGCACCUUCUUAGCUCAGGAUCUGAUUCUCGCUUAAGACUUUGGGAUAUUGAUUCAGGCUGCAAUACUUUGGUCAAUUUUGAAGCUAUGCGAUUACAGAAUAGCAAACCACUACAAUUAGCUGUCACUGAGGAUCCAUCACUUGUAUUUGUCCCAUGCAUGGCAAGCAUUAAGGCAUACAGUUUAUGGUCUGGUAUGACAUUUCAAACAUUCCGUGGGCACUAUGAACCUGUUAAUUGCUGCUACUAUAGUGCACAAGAACAAGAGCUUUAUACUGGCAGCAAUGACAGACAAAUUCUUGUGUGGUCUCCUUCAACUCCAGCAUUUACUGAAAUGGAAGAUGAUGGCAUGAGGCAAAGACAUUUUGUAGUCGAUGAAGAUAACUGGAGCGACUAAAAAUCAUGUGUGUACACUGAGAACAUUGACAUGAGGGGAUAUUCACAAGCCUCGUUUCUCUCUUUUUCUUGAGGGAAUUGCCUAUGUUUUGUACAGUACUUAUCCUGCAGUUUUUCACCGAAAUAUCACUUGGAUUACUCACAUCACCAUGGCAUAUGAAUUGUACAUUAUAUCACUUGGACAGAGACAGAUAAGUAAAAUGUAAAUAUUGCCAAAUUCUACUCUAGAAAACAGAAGAGCCCCGUUCUUUUCUGUGUUCAGCACUGUUGGAAUUCACCUUGUGAUCUCGUUCAGCUUCUGGUCACAAGCACUAAGCUGCAGUAGAAAAAGGAAAUCACAGUCACAUUAGUAUUUGAAGGCAAGAAUUUUUCAGCCAGCUGCUUACACAUGAUCUUGAUAUACUGGUGUUACUGCCAAUUUAUAUACUAGCAACCAGCUUAUGUGCUUCUCUCAUAAUGCCUUUCAUCCAUCACCUGUUAGCAUUUGGUAGUGUAUCUGGAUUGCUAGGAUUGUGUAUGAAUGUUUAUGGACUAUUUACAUACUCGAGUAUAUUAGAACUCUGGAUGUUCAU